rnacentral:miRNA from 12 species
GUCCUGGUCCUGUCCUGGUCCUGGUCCUGCUCCUGGUCCUGCUCCUGGUCCUGCUCCUGGUCCUGGUCCUGG